AAGUCGUAACAAGGUUUCCGUAGGUGAACCUGCGGAAGGAUCAUUAAAAGUUUUGAGCCCCUUAAAGCUCGAUAACUCUUUAUCCAACCACCGUGACUUGUACCAGUAAUGCUUGCCGGAUGAGCUUUAGGGGGGUCCCUCGUGUGGGGGGCCUCUCUCGGGUUGCCGGCAAGGUUUAACAACUUAUACAUUUACCUAAUCCACUUAACUAUCGAUAUCUGGAUGCAUAUCAUUCUCUUGAUGAUGUGUACAUAAUCCAAUACCACUGUUAACAACGGAUCACUCGGUUCUCAC
rnacentral:misc_RNA from 1 species